ACUGAAAUCCUUGUUGCCAUAACACCAGGAAAAAUAAUAUGGGCUCCUGCAUAUAAAUAUAACGAAGGCCUUGGGGAAUGGGAGCAUUUCUAAAUGACUUGAAGCUCUGUCACGGCAUAAUCUCUUAUAAAUAAAUGUCAGUGUAGUCACUGAAUGCAGACUGGAUUUUUGCCUGACUACGGUGCUCAGCCUUCUAGACAAUAGUUAUGCUAAGGGAUUAUCUUUUAACAUUGUGCAGUUAUCUCCUUUGUUUGUUUUCUUUUUUCAUUAUUCACAUAAGCCAAGGGAAAUGAAAAGCAUCUUAUUUCAGGCAAAAAGGCCUGUGAAUGAUUAACUCUGGUUCCAUGCGUUGGGACUUUGCAUAGCAACCCCUUGGCUUGUAACGACAAAAAAGCUCAAGGCAGGAACAGCAGCCCAGGGACCUGAGACCAACGUUCUCAAAUGAAGGUGCCAGAUCUGCUGUUAGAGGAGAAUUCUUCUGUCCUAGCUGUGUCUCUGUGAUCUGUGGAUGAGGGUGGGAAAGCACCACUCAAUCAAUUGGGGUGUACAAAAUGGAGUUUGAGAAGGUCUCACAUCCAGGUCGUUUUGAAGCAAAGUCCAAGCAUUGUAUCACUUCAUCUGCAAAUAUUUCAAUAAGUACCCAAAAGGUCCAGAUUGACUGCAAGAACAAAUCAGCAAUCCUGAGAGGACCCACAGACCCUCUGAAGGAAGCAGACUACUCCUGCAGGACCUGGGAGAUACCCCGAAUACUGUAGCUGUUUAUAUGCAUGAUCUCCUGCUGUGAGCACCUUAAAGUGGUUGGACUGAGUCCCAUGAAGCCAGAUCACUUCUGACUGCAAGGAGCUUGGAAAAGCAAGUAUCUGGAUCUUUUACCAGCUAAAUUUGGAGAAUUAUUGAUCAAAUUUGGAUCUCUGUGUGCUGUCCUCCAAUUUAAUACUUUCUGUGUUGCUGUUUUAUUUUCUUUCUUCUGGAACCUGGCAAAGUGCAUCAAGCGAUGAGGCUUCCUCUUUGAAGAUCACAAGUGAGAAGAUUAGGUGCUUUCUCAGAAGCCCAGCAACCUGAUGGGAGUGUGGAGUGAGCAAGACCCAAAUCGGAGCUUCAUCCCUGCAUGGUUUAUUUUGCUUAUUUGGCAAACUUGCCCUGCAGGUAAGCAGAUCCAGUGUGACAAUAUCUUCCUGUGCCAGCUGUUCAUGUUUUCAAAGAAGAGAUCCUUUGGUUUUUGUUUUGCGCCUUGAACCCUUCAAAAGCAAAUGUCCCAAUUCUGACUGGCUUACUACUUGUCCUGCUUCCUGCUCUUCUAAAGAAGAUAUCUGCUGCUUUGGGGGAAAAUUGUCAGCAUGGUUCAAGGCAUUUUAUUUGCUUGAUAUCCUUGAAAGAGACUAGCCAGCUGCUCGCAAAUCUCACUUCAUCUCCCUCUUAGAUAUUCAGCUAACCUAUAUUUUUGUUUCCUCUGCCUGUGGCCAUGUGAUUGAUUUCUUAGGAAUAUAAUGUGAAUAGAAGUGAUAUUGUUAUUUCCAGGUCUGGCUCAUAAAAACUUUCUAUGAACAAUUACCAACUUUCCAACAGAGGCUAAAGAAAAUGGAGAAAGUCCAAUAACCAAGGAUUGCAUCUGACCCACUGCAGUACGCAAUCAACUUUAACAAUUAUUGAAAAAGCAGAUAUUUUGUAAGAUUCUUCAGUUAAACAAAGUAACUAUACUUGUUGUAAAGAUCAAAUUCAGAGAGAUCUAGACUAUGGCAAAAAGUAUCACUCACCUUUACUAUUAAAUCAGAUUGUAUGUUAGGUCUUUCAACUUGACCAUCUUUGAAUUUAACCUAAAUACCUACAUUUUCUGCUAACUGCUACAGCAAGGCAGUGUCCAGUCAUUUUUAUGUAAUGCUCCUCCCACUUACACACCCUGUUUAGUUCAGAUUCCGGUGUCUCUGGAUCAAUUACUGUGAAAGGAAGGUGGCAGAAGUAGGAUGGGGCAAAGGAAGUACAACUGUGAUGCACCAAAAUGGCAGGGUGCUCUGGAGUGAGUACUGACAUACAGAGCCAGGGUACCAUUUUGGGCCCAAAUGGCUGAGUUUUUGUCCUCUGCAGGGCUGAAAAUCAGUUCUUGAUAUUCCCGCCUUGCUCAGUCACCACAGUGGCCACUCCUACAUGGAUGUGAUCUUAACUAGAUCUCUACAGUUGAAGAUGGCCAUUUGGGACCAACUUGGGAAGCUAUAUGCUGACUGACCAUACUCCUAGUGACUGGGCAGUGACUUCUACCAAAUUCUAGGUAAUCUUACAUUUCCUCUCACACACUAGUUUUUUUCUCCCAUUUUUUAAUAAUAUGCUGUUUUUUCCUCCAUGAAAAUGUUUGGUAUGACUCCUAACAGUUCUCUAUUUUUUUUUUCUUUUAUUAAAAGAAAUUGGCAGUGCUCAUUGUCUGUGCAGAGUAGAAGAGGCACCAUGAGACAAAUUACUUUUGAUCACCAAAUAGUUACUUAAAGGGCUGUUGGUUUCUUAUAGUUAUCAAAUUUUAUUGGUAUACCUAAUGCAUUUGACACCUGAAGUAAAUCAUUUUUAAAUAUCUUCCCUUUAUUCUAGAAAAUUAUUUUAGUAAAUUUCAUAAAAUGAAAUAAAUAAUAGUAAUGGGUAGAUUUUUAAAUUAUGCUUUAUACAUAUAAUCAUAUAGCUUAGAAAUAUAAAACAAAUUUAAAACAAACCAAUUAAAACAAAAAUAAAUAAAACAAGAAUGAAAAAAGAAAAAAUAGAAGGAAAAAUAAAUUAAGUAAUUAGAAUGCUAUAAAGAGAACAAAGUACAAUUAAUUCAAUAAUUUUGAUAGCGACAUAGCAAUUGAAACUUUGAACUUUUGGUUACAGUCUGAUAUAAUAAGUCAUCUAUAUAAUUGGUAAUUAAUAAAUGAAUUAUAAGCGAAGCAAAAUGUCUAUAAAGGCUAAAAUUUAGGCAACUGGGUCAUAGCCCUGAUGUAACAUUUUAUUAUUAUGAUUUGUUUAUUAUUUUAAAAACAAGACAGUUUAUUAAAAAGUUAACCAUGAAUUUACCAUCUGACACAGCAAUUUCACUACGAGGUAUUUAUGCAAGAAUAAAUGAAAACAUAUGUCCAUUCAAAGACCUGUGCACCAAUCUUCAUAGCAGCCUUUUUACUAAUAGCCAAAAAGUGAAAACAGUUUAAUGCCCAUCAAUUGGUAAAGGAAUUAACAAAUGUGGUAUAUCUAUAUGUGGAAUAUUAUUUGGCAAUAAGACAUGGUUUAUCCAUAUCAUAGACAAACCUCAAAAACAUCAUGCUAAGUGAAAGAAGUCAGAUGCAAAAUAUUACAUAGUGUAUAAUUCCCCUUAUUUGAAAAGCCCAAAAAAGGCAAAUCUGUAGAGUUGGAAUGCAGAUCAAUGAUUGCCCCUGGUUGAGGGUAGGAAUGAAGAUUGAUUGAAGAAGGGCACAAGAGAUCUUUUAGGGCUGGUGGAAAUGCUCUAAAACUAGGUUGUGGUGAUGGUUUCACAACUCUAAAUUUGUGAAAAAUCAUUGUAUUCUUAAAAUGGAUGAUUCUCUUGCUGUGCAAAUUGUACCUCAAUAAAGUUGUUUAAAAAGCAAACACAUAGCAAUUAAAAUGAAUAAAGUGGAAAGACAUUAAAACUCAGUAAAAAUUUUAUUCAUUUGUA